rnacentral:rRNA from 1 species
CCUACGGGGGGCAGCAGUGGGGAAUAUUGGACAAUGGGGGCAACCCUGAUCCAGCCAUGCCGCGUGUGUGAAGAAGGCCCUCGGGUGUAAAGCACUUUCAGUGAGGAAGAACGCCUGGUGGUUAAUACCCAUCAGGAAAGACAUCACUCACAGAAGAAGCACCGGCUAACUCCGUGCCAGCAGCCGCGGUAAUACGGAGGGUGCGAGCGUUAAUCGGAAUUACUGGGCGUAAAGCGCGCGUAGGUGGCUUGAUAAGCCGGUUGUGAAAGCCCCGGGCUCAACCUGGGAACGGCAUCCGGAACUGUCAAGCUAGAGUGCAGGAGAGGAAGGUAGAAUUCCCGGUGUAGCGGUGAAAUGCGUAGAGAUCGGGAGGAAUACCAGUGGCGAAGGCGGCCUUCUGGACUGACACUGACACUGAGGUGCGAAAGCGUGGGUAGCAAACAGGAUUAGAUACCCCAGUAGUC